GUUGUAGAGAAUUUUCGUUUUUGGAUUGGAUUAGAGUCAAGGAAUGGCAUUAAUUAUGAGUGGCAAUCUAAAAAUACCACAGAAUCAAACAGGUUUGACGAUUGGAAAGAGGGAAAUCCAAAUGACAUUGGAGUUGACACUUGUGCUUUUAUGUGGAGUUUAAAGUGGUAUGACACAUAUAGAAGCCAAUGCAAGCGUAAUGAUGAAUAUUUUAUAUGUGAAUCAAGGUAGGAUAUGUUAUCAUUUUUAAUAGUUAUAUAUAACUGAUUUGGUUUUUUUUUUCAUUUUGUUUUUAAAUAAGAUAUUUCUUUGUGUUAAAUCUACUUAAUCUGAUUGCUCAACACAAAACACAAAUAAACAAUACACAAGCACGAAUAUAAAUAUGCUAUUCUAGAACAUGUUAAGCAAAAGUAUUUUGUCAAUUGAUCUUACAAUAAGAUAUAUGCCAUUGUAUUGAAAAUUCUAUAACAUCUAUGAGAUUAAAAGAAAAAAAUGCCAUUCAACGUAUACUAUUUAAACUAAUGAUGUGUAUUACAAAUGACAUACUCAAAAUUACUGGACAGUAUUUCAGAAAGAACCAAUUUCCCAAAUUCAAUUCUUAAAAAUUACAUUCAAUGCCACUGCUAGUGGAGUUAUUAUUCCCCGAGGGUAUCACUAGCCCAGUAGUCUUCACUUCUGUGUUGUUAUCAUUUAUCAUUGAUAUGGUCAUAAUAAAAAAUAACUGUCAACAAAACUUUCCAUUAUGAAAAUACUAAGAUUUUUUUUUCCUACAGAAUAUAUUACUUUAGCUGUACUUGGCCCAAUUUUAGGAAUUGUUGGGUCUAAAUGCUGUUCAAUUUCGUACUUUAUUUGGCCUUUAACAUGUUUUUGUUUCAAGCGUCACAUGUCAUGGUGAUAAAUCUUUUGAAGACACAUUGCUUUAUAUACAGGUUGUCUUCACAAUGACAUAUUUAAAGCAUGAGUCUUUGGUUUUAAUGGGACAAACAUAUACUCAUAUACAGCAAAAUUGAAUACUGUGAAAAUUAUUACAGAUGGUCUGAUGUAGAAUUAUAUAGAUGAAAUAUAAUAUAACAGGAUUUUUGUUUUCUCGUUUGUAUUUCCCCGACAAAUGUGAUACUGAAAUAAUGCCAGAAAACCUAGGUUAUCAUGGUUACUACCCUGGGCAAACAAAAUGCGCUCAAGAUCAAAAGAAAAAUGAGGACUUAAAUUGUCGUAUGGUUAACAAUACAUAACAUGAUCAUACAUAUGUUUACACUUUCUUCGUACGACUACCUGACUAUGUUUUUAUUAUAUGCAUUAAUAGAGCAUAGUCCAGUAUAGAUACCAGUAACUCUUAUUAUUUUCUAAAAUUUCACCAAUCUCUUCUUAAAAUAACACAUAUCUUAUUUUCUACUUUGCAGGUUUGACUAACUACCAUGACGACAAUGACCAGCUCAGGAGAACAUACCGUCAAAAUAAAAUCUCAAAAAAAACUUUAUAACUGUAUAGCAUUGUUUUUUUGUCAUGCCCCUCUCCCUUCGAAUAUGUGCCAUUUGAUUUUGUAAGAUUAUUAGAAUGAUGAAGUGGAUAGGAGA
rnacentral:lncRNA from 1 species